rnacentral:rRNA from 1 species
GAUGAACGCUGGCGGCGUGCCUAAUACAUGCAAGUCGAGCGAACAGACGAGGAGCUUGCUCCUCUGACGUUAGCGGCGGACGGGUGAGUAACACGUGGAUAACCUACCUAUAAGACUGGGAUAACUUCGGGAAACCGGAGCUAAUACCGGAUAAUAUAUUGAACCGCAUGGUUCAAUAGUGAAAGACGGUUUUGCUGUCACUUAUAGAUGGGUCCGCGCCGCAUUAGCUAGUUGGUAAGGUAACGGCUUACCAAGGCAACGAUGCGUAGCCGACCUGAAAGGGUGAUCGGCCACACUGGAACUGAGACACGGUCCAGACUCCUACGGGAGGCAGCAGUAGGGAAUCUUCCGCAAUGGGCGAAAGCUUGACGGAGCAACGCCGCGUGAGUGAUGAAGGUCUUCGGAUCGUAAAACUCUGUUAUUAGGGAAGAACAAAUGUGUAAGUAACUAUGCACGUCUUGACGGUACCGAAUCAGAAAGCCACGGCUAACUACGUG